AGUCAAUAGAUACCCGGGUAGUCCACGCCGUAAACGUUGUGCACUAGGUGUGGGAGGUAUCGACCCCCUCCGUGCCGAAAGUUAAACGCAUUAAAGUGCACCGCCUGGGGAGUACGGUCGCAAGACUGAAACUCAAAGGAAUUGACGGGGGCCCGCACCAGCGGUGGAGCAUGUGGUUUAAUUCGAGGCAACGCGAAGAACCUUACCCAGGCUUGACAUCCCGGGAACCCUCCCGAAAAGGAGGGUGCCCUUCGGGGAACCCGGUGACAGGUGUUGCAUGGCUGUCGUCAGCUCGUGUCGUGAGAUGUUGGGUUAAGUCCCGCAACGAGCGCAACCCUUGUUCCUAGUUACCAGCGGUUCGGCCGGGCACUCUAGGAAGACUGCCGGUGAUAUGCCGGAGGAAGGUGGGGAUGACGUCAAGUCAUCACGGCCCUUAUGCCUGGGGGCUACACACGUGCUACAAUGGUCGGUACAAAGGGUCGCAAUACCGCGAGGUGGAGCCAAUCCCCAAAAAGCCGGCCUCAGUUCAGAUUGGAGUCUGCAACUCGACUCCAUGAAGUUGGAAUCGC
rnacentral:rRNA from 1 species